GGAAAAGGAUCAUCUGGAAACGUUUAACAACUCAGAGCCCCAGCGCUGGACAUGAUUAGCUUAUUAUUUCUCUUACCACUAUGCCUCGCGGAGGUACAAAUCAUAGACUAUUCGAAUUCCCAAUUAGUGACUAUAGAAAAAGGAUCGGCCAGAUUGCAGACAGGAACGUUUAGAAUAAUCCAUGAAAUCGACAUUGACAAAUAUACGGAAGUCCUCGAACAUAUCGAAAUGACGACGAAAACGGACGCAUUUCAUAGAAAUCCCAACUAUCCUUUUAUUACUCUACUAAUAUCCCAGAUUAAAGCUCAUAUCAAAUUUAAGAAUUGUAAGAAAAUCAAAAAGGUCAUUAAAUUUUUUAGGCAGUGCGUGGAAAUGGAUUGCAGUAAUUUCAGACCACGAAGACUACGAAAUAGUGUUAAACAAAUUAAAUAACGUUCUAGAAAAUAACAAUAAUCAAGUUCUAAUUAACAAGCUAACGAUAGAAAAAGUAAACGAUAUUACAAACAUAACAAAUCAUAUUAUUAAAGAGUUGGAAAAUGACAAAAGCAAAGAAAUAGAAUCAUUUUUGAAAUUAAAGUAUAAAUUAGAAAUUAUAAAAGAAGAGGUCGUAAAUAUUGCGUACGCAAUACAUUGGGCAAAAGCCAAUAUAAUCAACUCCUACACCAUGUCAAGCGAAGAAGCGGACAUCGCCAAGAAAAUUUUUGAAAAAGAUGACAUUCCAUUCAUAAAUUUAGACGAAGCUUUAGAAUUUUCUGAAAUAAAAAUAGCAACCGAUGGAAAAAUAAUAAUUUGCAAAACAAUAGAUAUUAGAGCAGUGAAGAGGAAUGGCAAGAUCAAUAAAAUAAAUUUUAACUCAAUUCUUAGCUGUGAAAAGAAUAUUUUCGGAAUAAAAAACAAUUGUAAACAAUAUAAUUCUUUGCAAAUAUGUUUAAGAAGUAACUUAGUAAAUUUAAGUAAUGACUAUUGCAUAAGUAAUCUCCUAAGGAGUCGUUUGUCAAACUGUACAGUGACCAACAGCCAACACAUUUUAGACUACGAAGAAUUGUCACCAGGAAUACUAUUUCUAAACAAUUUUAAAGGAGAAAUCAUAAUAAACGAGGACCUUACGAUCCUGAAUGGUACUUUUAUAAUUCACUACCAUAAUGCUACAAUCAAGAUCAAUGAGAAGAUAUUUUUCAAUGCACAAAGAUCGACAAAUAAGCCCCUACCUGCCCUACUCCAACCACCCUCAACAUCAAACAGAAGCGAGGAAAUACUUUCCUUAGAGAUGCUGAAGCAACUAAAUAUCGAUAAUACAAAAGAAAUAAGCCUUACACAAUCAGCAAACCAACUUAAAUAUACCGCAAAUAUUAUUUUAACCGUCAUAUUGUUAAUCAUUAUCAUAUACUUAACAAAAUCCGUUCUAUCACCCAAGGAGGACAAACAAAAACGGUCCAUCGAUCUAACAGAAACCGCAGUCGAAGGACUUAACCAGAUCUUCAAUAAGCCUAAAGGUCCAAACGAGGACGUUUGAAUCUCAGGGGGGGGCCUGUUAGCACGACACAUAUUAACAAACGUUAAGACACGCAUACUAUUACACCAACAUUCUUUAGCGCAACAUAAUUAUGUUUAUGUUAAGGCAUAGGCAUUGAACUAAUAAAGUCGCUGACGUUGCGGCAUGUGUAACUCCAGACUAUAGGAACGGACGGCCAGCAACAGAAAUUUAGCAAAACGGUGGGAACCACAGAAUCAGCACAUUUGGUCACGUAGCAGUAGCGACAGAUUUAGGGCUAGCAUUAAGAAUGAUAAAAUGUUAAGUUUAGUUUUUAGUUGGAGUUGAAGUAAUAAAGGAGCAUAGCUCCCACAAAUAUAUUUUUUUAAAAUCAA